rnacentral:rRNA from 2 species
CGUUAUAACCGGCGAUUUCCGAAUGGGGAAACCCAGUGUGACUCGUCACACUAUCAUUAACUGAAUCCAUAGGUUAAUGAGGCGAACCGGGGGAACUGAAACAUCUAAGUACCCCGAGGAAAAGAAAUCAACCGAGAUUCCCCCAGUAGCGGCGAGCGAACGGGGAGGAGCCCAGAGCCUGAAUCAGCAUGUGUGUUAGUGGAAGCGUCUGGAAAGGCGCGCGAUACAGGGUGACAGCCCCGUACACAAAAGCGCAUGUGCUGUGAGCUCGAUGAGUAGGGCGGGACACGUGGUAUCCUGUCUGAAUAUGGGGGGACCAUCCUCCAAGGCUAAAUACUCCUGACUGACCGAUAGUGAACCAGUACCGUGAGGGAAAGGCGAAAAGAACCCCGGCGAGGGGAGUGAAAAAGAACCUGAAACCGU